AGCUUUGCGUCGUGGCAGUAUCGUAGCCAAUGAGGUUUAUCCAAGGUGCGAUUAUUGCUAAUUGAAAAAAGCACUUCAAAUGAGUGAACAUACCUAGUUUGAAAACUUGAGUGUGGACAUAGAUCUA
rfam:Erinaceus europaeus unplaced genomic scaffold scaffold00938, whole genome shotgun sequence